rnacentral:rRNA from 1 species
AUGAACGCUGGCGGCGUGCCUCAUACAUGCAAGUCGAGCGAACAGACGAGGAGCUUGCUCCUCUGACGUUAGCGGCGGACGGGUGAGUAACACGUGGAUAACCUACCUAUAAGACUGGGAUAACUUCGGGAAACCGGAGCUAAUACCGGAUAAUAUAUUGAACCGCAUGGUUCAAUAGUGAAAGACGGUUUUGCUGUCACUUAUAGAUGGAUCCGCGCCGCAUUAGCUAGUUGGUAAGGUAACGGCUUACCAAGGCAACGAUGCGUAGCCGACCUGAGAGGGUGAUCGGCCACACUGGAACUGAGACACGGUCCAGACUCCUACGGGAGGCAGCAGUAGGGAAUCUUCCGCAAUGGGCGAAAGCCUGACGGAGCAACGCCGCGUGAGUGAUGAAGGUCUUCGGAUCGUAAAACUCUGUUAUUAGGGAAGAGCAAAUGUGUAAGUAACUAUGCACGUCUUGACGGUACCUAAUCAGAAAGCCACGGCUAACUACGUG